rnacentral:lncRNA from 1 species
GCCGGUUUUACAUUUAUUGUCCACUUGAUGGCACAGUAGAGCAAAUGAAGCACCAUGAAGCUUCGGCUCAUGAGUGAACCAAUUGGAUGGAAAGCUUCAAUGCUUCAUGAAGCUUCAUCUCGUCAUAAAAAAUGUGGAGACCUGAAGGAAACCAUUUCCUUAAGUAAUUUUUCCGUGUCAAAUCAAAUUAAACUUGUUGCAAUAUAAAUGGAUCACAUGCAUAUGUCACUCCGACUUUCUUUUUGAGAUGUGGAUGUUGGCUUCUGUUAGACUAAUUGCUGAGGUUGAGAGUCAUUCACCAGCAGCUGUCCAUCGUUAACUCUGAUCUCUGGCAACACUUAUAACCCUCCACAUGUGUUAGGUUCUACAGUGUAGGCCUUCAACAUGAUGAUUGCACAGUUUGUCGCAGGGGCUUCCCUCUUUGCUCUGUUGAUUGUGGAAAUAUGCUGCCAUCCUGUUAAGCAAGGCUCUAAUCCUGGCGCUUCUUUUAAGAGCAGUAACAUGAACACUGCUCCUAAUUUGGAUUUGUACCGGGAAGUGCCUUCUGGCCAGUUUUCACCUGGAGCUGUUCGGUUUAACAAUGCUCCUUCUCAAGGCAUCUCUACACCAAUUGAUCAUGCAGUGCCAGAUACAAGGCCCAGUGUUUCUGAGUUUAUAGUUCAAAGAGAAAUAACGUCACUUGUUGGCUCUAGUUCCCCUGGCCUGCUUUACUCGGGGAACAAGGGCACUUUGUACCAGGAAGUGCCUUCUGACCAAUUUUCAACUGGAGCUGUUCAGUUUAACAAUGCUACUUCUCAAGGCAUCUCUACACCAAUUGCUCAUGCUGUGCCAGAUACAAGGCCCAGUGUUUCUGAGUUUAUAGUUCAAAGAGAAAUAAUGCCAUUUGUUGGCUCUAGUUCCCCUGGACUGCUUUUCUCAGGGAAUAGGGCCACUUCAGUGAGGCAAAACUCUACCAGUUCUGCACAACCAGAAGCUGGGUUUCAAUCUGCCUCACAAGGUAACACACUAAUGCUUGAUCUGUGAUUUUUACAAUGAACUUAAUAUGAUUUUGAGCAAUCUAAAGAUAUGUGACAUUAAAACUAGAAAGUCUUGGCUAGCUGUCUGGAACAAAAACUCUUUUUGAUUUCAGAUGCCAACUGGGCUGUUGCAUCUCCUCCUGAUCUGUUCUACGGCGGUGAGGAAAUGUCGACUGGCACUCGUGGUGUUGUCUCCAGUCGACCCAAGAAGCUGAGUCUCCUUCAACCAAUGUACCAGGCAGGGGAGUUGUCCAAUUAUGAGCUAAGCAAUGAGCACGGUGACUUCGAGAGGGAGACCGAGGAACAAGGCUGGUGGCCUCAGCAACCACGUCCUAUGCAAGAGUCUGCUGGACAAGGCUUCGCCAGCCAACCUCGUCCAGUCUUCAACAUGGGUAGAAGCUUGAGCCCUUAUCAUUACUACGACUUCUCUUUCCUUACCGGCCAGUAUCCUCCAGGCACAUUCAGUCAUGCCAGCAGCAGCUACGAGCAGGGAAGAGACUACUGGCAAGACGUUCACUAUAUGAAAGACUCUGGUACCUCUAACCCCAGACCUGAACAGCAGAUCCAGACCUUCACUGGUGACUUUGGAGCUCCCCAGAGCAUUGAGUAUCCCAGUACGCCUGUGGGAAGUCCUGUGAUGUCUGGUUAUGGACAGGGUGGUGCUCAGCCUGGUCUAGAAGCUUCUUCCCCUCAACACUUCUGGCAGUCAAGCCGUUGGCCAAAUCAUGUAUGACAAAAUAUAUUGACACAAAUGACUAACUAUUAUUGUAACUAGUACUAAUCUUGCUCUUUUCCUAUCUUUUCUAUGUGUAUAGGCCUAUUAGCGGUGUGGAUCCCUACAGCAUGAACAAAGUUUUCGGAUGAAUAAAGCUUUUGUAAUUUACUCUUGCUUCAAGAUUGUUUCUCUUGACUAAAGGAGCCCCGUGCCAAAGUGGCACAAAAUGAAAUUGUCAAAAAAACCUAUGACUAAUGAUGUUCCACUGCAUGGUAUGCCACAGCUCUACUCUUGGACUCUCUUUGGCUUCCAUUGGGAGAACCUGUGGAUGGUACCUAGUUUAUUUUUUUGGUACUACCUUGGUCAAUGUUUUGUAAGCAGAUGCUAAGAGGUGGUGGUGGUAAAACCCUGCACACCAGACUACACGAAAAAUCAGACUGUGGUAGCACAAUUUAUAACUAACACUACAAACCAGUUAAGCUGAUUCUUGCAGCUCAAUUUCUCUGCAUGCCUUGUUAUAGAGUCAAAUAAACUCUAUCCUCUCUAUGUGCUGACAUAAAAGUGCUUAUCAGGCUCAGUUGAUUGGAUCUAGAAACAGAACUCAUGGGGAAAUGGUAACAAUACAGACUCAAGAUGUAUGACAGUUGGAUGAGAUCACGGUCAGACAGAGGUGACUGUGCAAUGCGUCUGACUCAGCUCAGAAGAGUUGGUGUUAAAAUCAAAUCCGGGUCAAACCGCUAUGUCUGCCUUUGCAUUAAUGGCUUAUUAGACUAAUACAGAUUUACAUUGAGCAGUGGAGGUGAUAUCACCUUGAUGUGCCUGCUCGAUUUGUGUGAUUGAUCAAAUAUAUUUUCUGUGAUAUUUAGAAGUGCUCAGCAGUUCCAGUUAUUUGUGUUAAACAUGUGAUUAGACUAGAUUUACAAUUGCAGCUUACUCUUCAGUUUGACCAUUAUUUAUUUUUGUGUGAUCAAUUGAAUGAUAACCCAUCCUUAUGUAUCCGUUUUGUGACAUGUAAAAAGUGCUUAGAAGGCCCUGUUGAUCGAUAUAAAGUCCCAUCUAAGCAAGUGAAAGCAGACUCUGUGGUGCAGCACUUCUGACUCGAGAUCAGAAUGAUGCAUGUUCAAAUUCCAUCAGGGUCAAUCUACCACAAUGUGCUGUGACUUCUAUUAACAUAACAGAUGGUUAGACUCAUUUAUAACUAACACUACCAACAAAUUAGCAGGCUCCCACUUUCUCUACAUGCCUUGCUAUGUAUUUGUUACUAAUUCCAAUAAAAAAAACACU